UGGGGAAUUUUGGACAAUGGGGGAAACCCUGAUCCAGCCAUCCCGCGUGUGCGAUGAAGGCCUUCGGGUUGUAAAGCACUUUUGGCAGGAAAGAAACGUCAUGGGUUAAUACCCCGCGAAACUGACGGUACCUGCAGAAUAAGCACCGGCUAACUACGUGCCAGCAGCCGCGGUAAUACGGAGGGUGCAAGCGUUAAUCGGAAUUACUGGGCGUAAAGCGUGCGCAGGCGGUUCGGAAAGAAAGAUGUGAAAUCCCAGAGCUCAACUUUGGAACUGCAUUAUUAACUACCGGGCUAGAGUGUGUCAGAGGGAGGUGGAAUUCCGCGUGUAGCAGUGAAAUGCGUAGAUAUGCGGAGGACCACCGAUGGCGAAGGCAGCCUCCUGGGAUAACACUGACGCUCAUGCACGAAAGCGUGGGGAGCAAACAGG
rnacentral:rRNA from 1 species